GCCGCAGUGGGACAAUCUGGUACUCCGGUCGCCUCGAAAGCGUCUUUCCGCAAGGAUAUCUCGGUUCGAAUCCGAGCUGCGGCG
rnacentral:tRNA from 1 species